AGAAAUAUAAAAUUUAAGAUAAAGCUGCUAACUUUAACUUUAGCGAUGAAAUUCGUUAAUAUUUCUUUUA
rnacentral:tRNA from 1 species